GGAGAAGUACUCAAGUUGGCUGAAGAGGCGCCCCUGCUAAGGGUGUAGGUCGGGUGACCGGCGCGGGAGUUCGAACCUCCCCUUCUCCG
rnacentral:tRNA from 1 species